rnacentral:rRNA from 1 species
UUAUAAAUUUGAUUAUUAUUAUUAUUUUUUUAAAGUAUUAUUUUAUUUAUUAUUUAAGUAGAAAAAUUAUUUUUUAUUAUAGUUUAUUAUUAAAGUGAUUGAAUUUUUUUUAUAUUUUAAAAAGGAAAAUUUAUUUUUUGUACCUUGUGUAUCAGGGUUAAUAAAUUAAAUAUUUUUUAUUAAAUUUUCUCGAAUUAAAAAGAUCUAAUUAAUUAUAUGUUUAAUUUUUUUAUAAAUUUUCAUAAUUUUUAAUUUGAAAUGAAAUGUUAUUCGUUUUUUAGUAUAUCUGGUUUUUUAAGAAAAGAAUUUAAUUCUCUUAUUAUUUAUUUAUUUUCUUAUUUUUAGUUAAUAUUUUUUAGUAUGAAAUAUUUGAGGGGAUGAGCUUUUAAUUAUAUUAUUAAAAAUUUUUAUUUUUUAUUAUUUUGUAUAAUUUAUAUUGUUAAUCAUAUUAAUAAUUUAAUAUUUAAUUUAUUUUUAUUUAUUAUUUAUAUUUAUUUUAAUUUUUAUAUUAAAAAAUUUUGUUUAAUAUUUUUUCUUAGGUUAUAAUGAUUAAAUUAGUAUAUAAUUUUUUAAUUGUCUUUAUUUUUUUAGGUAAUAAAAAGGAACUCGGCAAAUUAAUUUUUCGCUUGUUUAUUAAAAACAUGUCUUUUUGAUUAUAAUUUAAGGUUUAAUCUGCUCAAUGAUUAUUUAAAUUGCCGCAGUAUUUUGACUGUGCAAAGGUAGCAUAAUAAUUAGCUUUUUUAUUGAUAGCUGGAAUGAAUGAUUGGACGAAAGAAUUUCUGUCUCUUUAUUAAUUUUUAUUUAAUUUUACUUUUAAGUUAAAAGGCUUAAAUUUUAUUAAAAGACGAGAAGACCCUAUAGAGUUUAAUUUAUUUAUAUAUAUCUUUUUUUAGAAUUUUUGAAAUUUAUUUUAUAGUAAAUUUAGUUGGGGUGAUUUAAAGAUUAAUUAAACUCUUUUAAUUUUUAUCAAUUAUAUUUGAAUAUUAAAUCUAUAUUUUUAAGUUUAAAAUAAAUUACCUUAGGGAUAACAGCGUAAUUUUUUUUAAAAGUUCAUAUUAAAAGAAAAGUUUGCGACCUCGAUGUUGGAUUAAAAUUUAUUUUAGGUGUAGAAGCUUGAAUAUUAAGUCUGUUCGACUUUUAAAAUUUUACAUGAUCUGAGUUUAAACCGGUGUAAGCCAGGUUGGUUUCUAUCUUUAAUUUAUUAAUUUAUUUUAGUACGAAAGGACCAGAUAUAUAAUAUAAUAUUUUAUUUUGAACAUUAUU